rnacentral:snRNA from 1 species
GAAUGUGACGGUGACCUGGCUGUGACCCUGCCACCCCAUUGAUUGCCAGGGCCCAUUAGACUGAUGUGGUGGCCCGGUGUCUUCUUUCUUCCUCACCUCUGCAUACGUCAGUCUUCAAGUCUCGGCCUCAGACGACAGGAAUGACCUUCUUGAUAAAGGAGCGUUCAUUCUCGGUGAGCCCAGGCGGUGCAAACAUUGACUGCUCAGUGAGGCUUCAAGUUGGGGCUUUUUCUG